rnacentral:rRNA from 1 species
UACGUAGGGUGCAAGCGUUAAUCGGAAUUACUGGGCGUAAAGCGUGCGCAGGCGGUCUUGUAAGUCUGUCGUGAAAUCCCCGGGCUCAACCUCGAGACGCCGAUGGAAACCAUGUGGCUAGAGUCCGGAAGAGGAGAGUGGAAUUCCUGGUGUAGCGGUGAAAUGCGCAGAUAUCAGGAAGAACACCCGUGGCUAAGGCGGCUCUCUAGUACGGUACUGACGCUGAGACGCGAAAGCGUGGGGAGCAAACAGG